UCUCCGUACGGGGAAGGAUGAGAAGCUUUGACUAAGGUUCGAUUCGAGCGCAGCGAGAAAGCGUUGCCGCAGGCAACGACCCGAAGGGUGAGGAGCGGAGCGACGAAUAAUCCUUCCCCCACCACCA
rnacentral:sRNA from 1 species